rnacentral:rRNA from 1 species
GUCGAACGCUGGCGGCUUGCCUAAUACAUGCAAGUCGAACGCAGUGGGGACGGGUGAGUAACACGUGGGUAACCUCCCAUCAGAGGGGAUAACACUUGGAAACAGGCGCUAAACCGAUAUCGAAGUAUGUACCCGCGGUGCAUUAGCUAGUUGUUGAGGUAACGGCUCACCAAGGCCACGAUGCAUAGCUGGCCUGAGAGGGUGAUCGGCCAAACUGGGACUGAGACACGGGCCAGACUCCUACGGGAGGCAGCAGUAGGGAAUAUUCGGCAAUGGGCGAAAGUCUGACCGAGCAACGCCGCGUGAGUGAAGAAGGGCUUCGGAUCGUAAAACUCUGUUGUUAGGGAGGCGGUAUCUACCGAGGAAGCAACGGCUAACUACGUGCCAGCAGCCGCGGUAAUAC